rnacentral:rRNA from 1 species
CUCGUAGGCGGCCAACUAAGUCAGACGUGAAAUCCCUCAGCUUAACUGGGGAACUGCGUCUGAUACUGGAUGGCUUGGAUUCGGGAGAGGAAUGCGGAAUUCCAGGUGUAGCGGUGAAGUGCGUAGAUAUCUGGAGGAACACCGGUGGCGAAGGCGGCAUUCUGGACCGAUAUUGACGCUGAGGAGCGAAAGCCAGGGAGCAAACG